GACGAACGCUGGCGGCGUGCCUAAUACAUGCAAGUAGAACGCUGAAGCUUGGUGCUUGCACCGAGCGGAUGAGUUGCGAACGGGUGAGUAACGCGUAGGUAACCUGCCUGGUAGCGGGGGAUAACUAUUGGAAACGAUAGCUAAUACCGCAUAAUAGUAGAUGUUGCAUGACAUUUGCUUAAAAGGUGCAAUUGCACCACUACCAGAUGGACCUGCGUUGUAUUAGCUAGUUGGUGAGGUAACGGCUCACCAAGGCAACGAUACAUAGCCGACCUGAGAGGGUGAUCGGCCACACUGGGACUGAGACACGGCCCAGACUCCUACGGGAGGCAGCAGUAGGGAAUCUUCGGCAAUGGACGGAAGUCUGACCGAGCAACGCCGCGUGAGUGAAGAAGGUUUUCGGAUCGUAAAGCUUCUGUUGUAAGAGAAGAAACGAGUGUGAGAAGUGGAAA
rnacentral:rRNA from 1 species